GUCCGAAGCGCGCGCCUGCACCGCUGCAAGGCCGGCGGGCGGCUGUCCCCGCUGCCACUCGUGAAUGCCCAUGUUUCGCUGCUCCAGCGAUGCCAUCCACAUGCUCCGUUAUGCUGUGCUGCUGGAAGACCAAGGCUCGUCCAACGACGCUGACAUGUUCGUACAGACCCUCACUCUCUCCUGACUUCACGUCCCAGAAGGUAUGUAUAAGCAGACACUGGAGAAACAUUUUCACCUUGAGUCUAGCAGGACAUACUCAGCCUGCCUUCUGUCCAGCUCAAAGGAUGUGAAGUGGACUGUCAUAAUUCAGUUGCCUCUCGGCCACACAGCCCCAAGUGACCAGUAACAUCAGAUGGAAAGAGAGAAGGGGGGGAACACCUGUGUGAGUAUCUGAGCUUAAUGAACUUCGGUUUUUAGUAAGUUUUAACUUUGAGAUAGAAACAGAAGUAUUUAUGUGGAAAAAUUUAUGAAGUGAGGUUACAUGCAUAAGAAUAAAGUCUCCAAACACCCGUGAGGAGUCUGAGACCAGCAUCAGCCCUGGAUACCUGAGAGAUGGUGAAUACUUGGUAAAGUUGAUGGCUGAAGCUUCAGGUGGCUGCUCAGAGCUGAGGAGUAGGGGCAGAGGACAUCAAGAGGGGAAAAGUCUGACAGUUACUGCCUAUGGGAGAAACUGCAGGUGGAUUUUUAGGGACACCUUACUCAGAAGAAACAUCUUGUAAGGGGAAAUAAAUGGUAAAAACUUGCAAUUUUUUCUCUUCUGAAGGUAACUGCAAUGAAGCAGUUUUCUUCCACAGGGAAAUUCUAACAGAAAGCAAAUUACUUGUGGCAUGAAGGGGCAGCACAUGGGGAUUUAUGAGAACCCAAUUUAACUUUCCUUUUUUUGUGAUUCUCAUCCAGGCCAUCUGGCGCAGACUAGCUUUUGGCACACAGGUCAAAGCUAGGGUUUUCCUAGCAGGCUGGCUUCAUCCUUUCUUCACGCUCACAGAAGCACAUUUUAGUGCAAAAUCCAUCCCACGCUUUAUCUGCAUACCACAGCCCUGCCUGUCAUGCAUUAUGCACAACACUUGGCAAUUGUCUGCUCUAACCACAACAGCUAACCACAGCACGUUUCUCAGAAAUACGCCUAGCACACAUCCGUAACCUUUGUGUGGCCUACACUACACACACUCUCCACCCACUAUUAUUUUCCUUGCUGUGCCUGCCACUGUACCUGCUCUUUGUGCAACAACUGAAGAAAUCAUGACAGCAUCUCGGGCCUCUGCUGAGCCUGACAGGGCCAGGUAAGCCACGAGAUGUCAUACCCCAAUACCUUGCAGGAACUUCAUGACUUGUAUAAAAUAGAUUUUCUUUUUUCCCCUCUAAGGACCACUUUUUUUUUUUUUUUUUUUUGCAAUAACCAAUACUUCAUAACUUAAAGAGGUUUUACAUCUUGGAGACUAACAUUCCCUGUGGCACCAUGUUAUGGUCUGUAUUUGGAACAAGCAAUAGAUAAUCAAAAACUCAGUGCCUGUCUUAGAGUUAGCACCUGCCAUUCUGCACUAACUAGCAUUCUGGGCAUCCAUGCAUAUUUAGGAGGCAUCUAGUACAGAUGAGCUUCAGCAAAUCCAAGGGGGGGGUCUGUUUACAGUCAAGGUCUGCAAAGCCAUUCUCCACAGGCUGUAUCCCCACAUAAUCUUCAGCAACACUGAAAUAUUGAUAGCUCUUUGCCCAGUGUGGACUUCCCACUGCAGGGAACAAAAGACAAGAUUCAUAUUCCCACAGGAUGUGGUUAUGUAGUUCUUACAGCUGCAGUUAAGAGAAAAAUAUCAGUCAUUGUCAAUUCUUUACUCUUCCAGAGUGGGUAGCUGGCACUCUCUCCCCCUCUGCAGAACCUUGGCUUCUACAAAGCUGGAAAACCUGUGUUUAUUUCAGGCACUGCAAUUUUUUAAUCUUGGAUGAAGUAUCCGUACCCAGCCAAGCUGCUCACAUGCUAUGUUGUGAGGGACUAUGCACUCAGCUUGCUGACCACAUGGACUGCUAGGAUUCAGGGAAUUACAGUUUCCCAUGUUCUGUGAGAAUCCCUACAACCAGAUAAAUCCCAUACCAUCUCUUUAUGUGGGUUUUGGUGAACUCUUCAACAUGGAAUAGCCCCAUAAAAUUGUCUUUCAGUCUAUCUUUAUUCAUCUCAGCACUGCUGCUGCCUCUGAGCAAUCCUGAGCCCUGGCAUGGUAGGCAAAUAUGUGUUAGCAAUAGCACAGCUUCAGAAGCACCACCUGGGUCUGUAGGGCAAGAAAGGCCUUUACGUUAAUCAGUGUUUGUUCCAACCAGUGCUCACAGGGCAGAAUGUUUCUCUCCAUACAUGUCCAAAAAAA